rnacentral:misc_RNA from 1 species
AACGCACAUUGCGCCCCCUGGCAUUCCGGGGGGCAUGCCUGUCCGAGCGUCAUUUCUGCCCUCAAGCACGGCUUGUGUGUUGGGUGUGGUCCCCUCCAUCCCGGGGGGGACCUGCCCGAAAGGCAGCGGCGACGCCCGCCUAGGUCCUCGAGCGUAUGGGGCUUUGUCACUCGCUCGGGAGGGGCCUGCGGGCGUUGGUCAUCCCUCAACAUUUUUCCACGGUUGACCUCGGAUCAGGUAGGAGUUACCCGCUGAACUUAA